AUACGUAGGGUGCAAGCGUUAAUCGGAAUUACUGGGCGUAAAGCGUGCGCAGGCGGUUAUGUAAGACAGAUGUGAAAUCCCCGGGCUCAACCUGGGAACUGCAUUUGUGACUGCAUAGCUAGAGUACGGUAGAGGGGGAUGGAAUUCCGCGUAUAGCAGUGAAAUGCGUAGAUAUGCGGAGGAACACCGAUGGCGAAGGCAAUCCCCUGGACCUGUACUGACGCUCAUGCACGAAAGCGUGGGGAGCAAACAG
rnacentral:rRNA from 1 species